rnacentral:rRNA from 1 species
UACGGAGGAUGCAAGCGUUAUCCGGAUUUAUUGGGUUUAAAGGGUGCGCAGGCGGAAUGAUAAGUCAGUGGUGAAAUCCUACAGCUCAACUGUAGAACUGCCAUUGAUACUGUUGUUCUUGAGUACAUUUGUAGUGGGCGGAAUGUGUCAUGUAGCGGUGAAAUGCUUAGAGAUGACACAGAACACCGAUCGCGAAGGCAGCUCACUAGGCUGUAACUGACGCUGAGGCACGAAAGCGUGGGGAUCAAACAGGAUUAGAUACCCUUGUA